UACGGAGGAUCCAAGCGUUAUCCGGAUUUAUUGGGUUUAAAGGGUGCGUAGGCGGCCUGUUAAGUCAGGGGUGAAAGACGGUAGCUCAACUAUCGCAGUGCCCUUGAUACUGAUGGGCUUGAAUUGACUAGAGGUAGGCGGAAUGAGACAAGUAGCGGUGAAAUGCAUAGAUAUGUCUCAGAACACCGAUUGCGAAGGCAGCUUACUAUGGUCACAUUGACGCUGAGGCACGAAAGCGUGGGGAUCAAACAGG
rnacentral:rRNA from 1 species